AUUAAGCUUUACCCCCCUUUUUUUUUUUUUUUUUUCCUUAUAAUCACAAUACUUUUUUAAAGUUUGAUUCUGGCUUUAAAUCCAUUAGCUUUUUGGAUUAAUUAUAUGUAUAUUUAUUUAAUUAUUAAAUUACAGUAAUCUAUAUUAAAUACAAUUUUUAUUUUUUUUUAGAUAUCUAAAUAAAGUUUGAUUAAUUUUGUGCCAGCAUUCGCGGUUACACAACUAAAUUAAGUUAAUGAUUUUGGUUAAAAAUUUACAUUAUUGUUUUUAUUUGGUUGAUAAUUAAUUUAUUUAGGUGGAAUUUAUAAUUUAUUUAUUCCAUUAAUUUAUUAUGAUAAGUUAAAACUUUAAACUAGGAUUAGAUACCCUAUUAUAUUUAAUAUGAAUUGUUAUCCUGAAUAUUAAUAGUUAUGUUCUAUCAAACUCAAAGAAUUUGGCGGUAAUUUAUCUUUUCAGAGGAACCUGUUCUUUAAUUGAUAAACCACAAUAGUUUAUACCAUCUAUAUACUUGUAUAUCGCUAUAUUUAGGAAUGUUUUAUUUAGGAUUAAUUUUCUUUUUUUUUUAUAAAUUUAUAUUAGGUCAAGGUGCAGUUUUUAUUUGGUUAGUAUGGGUUACUUUAUUAUUAAUAUUUUUGGGUUAAUUUUUUUAUUAAAUUGUUUUAAAUAGGAUUUGAUAGUAAUUUAAAUUAAUUUAUUUUUUUUAAUUUGAUUCUAAAUUAUGUACAUAUCGCCCGUCACUCUCAAUAAUAUGAGAUAAGUCGUAACAAAGUAGCUUUACCGGAAGGUGAAGCUAGAAUUAU
rnacentral:ncRNA from 1 species